rnacentral:rRNA from 1 species
UACGUAGGUGGCAAGCGUUGUCCGGAUUUACUGGGCGUAAAGGGCGCGCAGGCGGCUAGUUUUGUCGAGUGUGAAAGCCCCGGGCUUAACCUGGGAACUGCGCUCGAAACGGGCUGGCUAGAGAUCGGGAGAGGAGAGUGGAAUUCCCAGUGUAGAGGUGAAAUUCGUAGAUAUUGGGAAGAACACCGGUGGCGAGGGCGGCUCUCUGGACCGAUACUGACGCUGAGGCGCGAAAGCGUGGGGAGCAAACAGG